CCCUUAGAUGUCCGGGGCCGCACGCGCGCUACACUGACGAAGUCAGCGAGCAUCUCCUUCGCCGAAAGGUGCGGGGAAUCUUGUGAAACUUUGUCGUGCUGGGGAUUGAUUUUUGAAAUUCUUGAUCAUCAACGAGGAAUUCCUAGUAAGCGCAAGUCAGCAGCUUGCGUUGAUUACGUCCCUGCCCUUUGUACACACCGCCCGUCGCUCCUACCGAUUGGGUGUGCUGGUGAAAUGUUCGGAUCGGCCGUUUGUCGCGGUUUCCGCGGCUCGUGGCUGAGAAGUUCAUUAAACCCUCCCACCUAGAGGAAGGAGAAGUCGUAACA
rnacentral:rRNA from 1 species